GCGUAAAGCGCACGCAGGCGGUCUGUCAAGUCGGAUGUGAAAUCCCCGGGCUCAACCUGGGAACUGCAUUCGAAACUGGCAGGCUUGAGUCUUGUAGAGGGGGGUAGAAUUCCAGGUGUAGCGGUGAAAUGCGUAGAGAUCUGGAGGAAUACCGGUGGCGAAGGCGGCCCCCUGGACAAAGACUGACGCUCAGGUGCGAAAGCGUGGGGAGCAAACAGGAUUAGAUACCCUGGUAGUCCACGCCGUAAACGAUGUCUACUUGGAGGUUGUGCCCUUGAGGCGUGGCUUCCGGAGCUAACGCGUUAAGUAGACCGCCUGGGGAGUACGGCCGCAAGGUUAAAACUCAAAUGAAUUGACGGGGGCCCGCACAAGCGGUGGAGCAUGUGGUUUAAUUCGAUGCAACGCGAAGAACCUUACCUGGUCUUGACAUCCACAGAACUUUCCAGAGAUGGACUGGUGCCUUCGGGAACUGUGAGACAGGUGCUGCAUGGCUGUCGUCAGCUCGUGUUGUGAAAUGUUGGGUUAAGUCCCGCAACGAGCGCAACCCUUAUCCUUUGUUGCCAGCGGUUAGG
rnacentral:rRNA from 1 species